rnacentral:tRNA from 1 species
GAGGAUAUAGCUCAGUGGUAGAGUGCAUGCCUAGCAUGCACAAGGUCCCAGGUUCAAUCCCUGGUACCUCCA